rnacentral:misc_RNA from 1 species
GGAUCUGACCUUCCAGCUCCUUGUUCGUAGUGGCGGCGACCUGCUCGCUGUGGCCCUGAGGGAAGUAGACGAUGCGGGUGCCGACAUUGGGCAGGCAGGUGAGCGGGCCGGCGCAGGCGUGCCAGAGCUCUGAGUUGAGGGGCCUCUUCUCUCCGCCUCCAGGCGGCGGCUCGCCGAGGCCGGCGGCGGAGGGAUUCAUCUGGAGUGUGGAUUCAGCGGAGCUCUGUGUCCAUCGACGGCGAAGAAAUUGGUGCUGCUGUGGCCAG